rnacentral:misc_RNA from 1 species
AACGCACAUUGCGCCCCUUGGCAUUCCGAGGGGCAUGCCUGUUCGAGCGUCAUUUCAACCCUCAAGCUCUGCUUGGUAUUGGGCUCGGCCUCUAGGGGCCGGCCUUAAAAUCAGUGGCGGUGCCAUCUGGCUCUAAGCGUAGUAAUACUCUCGCUAUGGGGUUCUCCUGGAUGCUUGCCAUAACCUAAAAUUCUUAUGGUUGACCUCGGAUCAGGUAGGGAUACCCGCUGAACUUAA